rnacentral:rRNA from 1 species
UACAGAGGUGGCAAGCGUUGUUCGGAAUUAUUGGGCGUAAAGGGCGCGUAGGCGGUCCUGUAAGUCUUGUGUGAAAUCCCUCGGCUUAACUGAGGAACUGCACGAGAUACUGCGAGACUUGAGUUCUGGAGAGGAAAGCGGAAUUCCGGGUGUAGCGGUGAAAUGCGUAGAUAUCCGGAGGAACACCGGUGGCGAAGGCGGCUUUCUGGACCGACACUGACGCUGAGGCGCGAAAGCGUGGGGAGCAAACAGG